rnacentral:rRNA from 1 species
UACAGGGGGGGCAAGCGUUGUUCGGAAUUACUGGGCGUAAAGGGUUUGUAGGUGGCCACUUAAGUCAGACGUGAAAUCCCUCAGCUUAACUGGGGAACUGCGUCUGAUACUGCGUGGCUUGAGUGCAGGAGAGGAACGCGGAAUUCCAGGCGUAGCGGUGAAAUGCGUAGAUAUCUGGAGGAACACCGGUGGCGAAGGCGGCGUUCUGGACUGUAACUGACACUGAAAAACGAAAGCCAGGGGAGCAAACGGG